UCUGUAAACACCAAGCUAGGGGUGUCUUCUUUUAGAUUCAGCCACUGUCAUUGGCUAAAAACACCUGUAUUUGUUUAAAUCACCGCCUUUCCCCCCAAUGCCGUGCGCGAUGGAACGCGUCGUAUUCGUAGGCAGCCUAAACGUGCUUCGACAUUGAUAUUCGGACAGAGCCCAAAAAUCAUACUCAGCCAAUCCUAGCCAAUCUUACUCAAUUACAGGAACAUGUAGCUAGGUCACUUGCCCCGAUUGGUCACCUACAACACGGGGGCGGGGACUGUUUCCCAUUCAGCUCUCCAUACUAGCUAUGUUUAAGGUGUAUAUAUUUAUUUUUCUGGAGUGGUUUUAGAAAUUAAACAGUUCUGAACAUCAUAGCCAUGAGGAUAAUUACUCUAAAAUAAAAAAAAAACUUUAUAAAAACAUGCCGGAAAAGUAUUUAUUUUGAACAGUUCUUUUAAUUGCGCAUAGCAUGGUCUCUGGAGACGCCUGGUGGACAGGUGUUGUAAAUGCUGUUUAAAAAAACAACAUCAUGGAAUAACCACCACUGGAACGAAAUCCCGGAAUACUUGCUUGCGGGUCUGUUUACUUCUCAGCUCGUUUAGAUCGCACGUAUUUAAGCAUAAUGAAGAAAAGAAGAAGAAAACCAGUUGACGAUGCAGUGCAGCAAGUCAUCAGUGGAACAGACAAGACUCAUUUACUCCAGAGCAGGAAAUUCAACCCUUACAAAGGUCGUGGAGUAUUUGCCCUGGAGUCUAUCAAUAAAGGAGAGUUUGUGGCUGAAUACAGGGGGGGAACUAAUAGAUUUUCUGGAAUCUGAGAGGAGGAGGAAGGUCUCCCAAAAUACGGUCUAUUUUUUUUUUCAGAAUAAACAGUGGUGCCUGCUAACGGGAUCCUCUCUCACACAAUGGAUGCGUUUAAAACAUCCCACUUGACUUCAGGAGCUGAGAAGACUGCCAAAGCUGCUUCUACUUUUAAGGUCCCUGUACGAAAACACCUUGGAGCACUGAUGAAAUCCAAGCUGGGGAGAAGCACAUGAUGAGGUUCCUUAACAAAUGGAAAGUGCCUGGAAAAGUGGAGUGUGUUUGGUGUUUACAAGCUGAACCACAGGCUCUUAAAAACAGACUAGUUAACCAUUAAGUUUUAUGUCAAAAAUUGCAUCACGGCACUACAGAGACAGGCACAUUGAGUGAACAGUUAAAAAAAAAUUGACCAGCAUGUUUUAACAUUUUGCAUUUGUAAAUUUAAUUCUCGCGGUGCUGCGACCAAAAAAAGGGAAUCUAGUUUGCGCUGAAGAGAAUAUCGCUCUCGAGCUUCAUUUAUCUCCUCUCUGGUGUUUUUUUUUCUCUACAUUUCACAGUUCUCCUUGCACGCUAUGCGAAUUACCUGCGGCUGUUGUUUUUGCUCAAGUGAGUUUUUUGUGCUGGAGUUUUA